UACGUAGGGGGCAAGCGUUGUCCGGAGUUAUUGGGCGUAAAGCGCGCGCAGGCGGCUUUGUAAGUCUGGUGUUUAAACCCGGGGCUCAACCUCGGGUCGCAUCGGAAACUGCAGGGCUUGAGUGCAGAAGAGGAAAGUGGAAUUCCACGUGUAGCGGUGAAAUGCGUAGAGAUAUGGAGGAACACCAGUGGCGAAGGCGACUUUCUGGUCUGUAACUGACACUGAGGCGCGAAAGCGUGGGGAGCAAACAGG
rnacentral:misc_RNA from 1 species